GGAAGUUAAAAGUCGUAACAAGGUCUCCGUUGGUGAACCAGCGGAGGGAUCAUUACAGAGUUGCAAAACUCCCAAACCAUCGUGAACAUGCCCUAUAUCGUUGCUUAUCGGGGUGGCUCGGCCUCGGCCCAUGCCUAGGCCCCUCUCAUGCCCCCGCCGGAGGUCUACCAAACUCUUGAAUUUACAUGGCCUCUCUGAGUCUUCUGUACUGAAUAAGUCAAAACUUUCAACAAUGGAUCUAUGCUCUCUGGCAUCGAUGAAGAACGCAGCGAAAUGCGAUAAGUAAUGUGAAUGCCUCGUGAUAGUCGUCGUCGAAUCUUUGAACGCACAAUGCUCGUCGCCAGUAUUCUAGCUCGCUCGUAGUAGUCGAGUGGCGGGCUCGCUGUCCACACCGAGCGUAGUAGCAUAUCUUUGUCUCGCUCAGGGCGUGCGGCGGGUUCCGGCCGUGAAACCCACCUUCUCGAAGGUACCCAAAGGUUGACCUCGGAUCAGGUAGGAAGACCCGCUGAACUUAAGCAUAUCAAUAAGCGGAGGAAUGGGCGCCUGAUAGUGCUCGCUGAAUGCCGCGC
rnacentral:rRNA from 1 species